UCGCGGCUUAUCACCGGCAGUCCCCUUAGAGUGCCCAACUGAAUGAUGGCAACUAAGGGCGAGGGUUGCGCUCGUUGCGGGACUUAACCCAACAUCUCACGACACGAGCUGACGACAGCCAUGCAGCACCUGUGCACGUGUCCCGAAGGAGGCCCUGGCUUUCACCAGGCUUUCACGUGCAUGUCAAGCCCAGGUAAGGUUCUUCGCGUUGCUUCGAAUUAAGCCACAUGCUCCACCGCUUGUGCGGGCCCCCGUCAAUUCCUUUGAGUUUCAGCCUUGCGGCCGUACUCCCCAGGCGGGGCACUUAACGCGUUAGCUGCGGCACCGAAGGGGUCGCUCCCCCCAGCAUCUAGCACCCAUCGUUUACGGCGUGGACUAC
rnacentral:misc_RNA from 1 species